GUGGGGAAUUUUGGACAAUGGGGGCAACCCUGAUCCAGCCAUCCCGCGUGUGCGAUGAAGGCCUUCGGGUUGUAAAGCACUUUUGGCAGGAAAGAAAUCGCACGGGAUAAUACCUCGUGUGGAUGACGGUACCUGCAGAAUAAGCACCGGCUAACUACGUGCCAGCAGCCGCGGUAAUACGUAGGGUGCAAGCGUUAAUCGGAAUUGCUGGGCGUAACGCGUGCGCAGGCGGUUCGGAAAGAAAGAUGUGAAAUUCCAGGGCUUAACCUUGGAACUGCAUUUUUAACUACCGGGCUAGAGUGUGUCAGAGGGGGGUGGAAUUCCGCGUGUAGCAGUGAAAUGCGUAGAUAUGCGGAGGAACACCGAUGGCGAAGGCAGCCCCCUGGGAUAACACUGACGCUCAUGCACGAAAGCGUGGGGAGCAAACAGGAUUAGAUACCCUUGUAGUCC
rnacentral:rRNA from 1 species